GGGCGUUUAGCUCAGCUGGCUAGAGCAACUGGUUUACACCCAGUAGGUCCAAGGUUCGAAUCCUUGAGCGCCCA
rnacentral:tRNA from 1 species